AGUUCACAUAUUUUUUUUUUCUUUUAACAACAUGAGUAUUUUGAUGAAUUGCGAGAGAGAAUUGAUUAUUUUUGACAAGAAAAACAUGGGUAUUAAUCAUUUUCAUGAUUUAUCACCUAUGUGCAAAGUACAAAUAAAAAUACAACAAUAGAACAAUGAAAAGAAAAUUACCGUUUGGCUGAGGGGUAUUAUGCUGUUACCUGAUCAAUAUUUUUGGGCCCACUCUCUCUCUUUGUUUUUUACAAUUAAAAAUUAAAAAAUAAAAAAAAAAUCACAGGAAAAUCAAGGAAAUCUAAACCUUAUCCUCAUGACAACGGGUUUUUUAUUUAAAUAUACUUCAUUUGUCCUUAAAUGCCAAACCUAUACCCUAUUACAUACAUAUACCUCAUAAAAGUGUAAAAAGUCAAAAAUAACCUAAAAAAAUAUCUAUUUACGUUUAAUUCUUCUCUCAUGACUUCUACAUAAUAACACAACCAAAGUCGAGUAUACUCGACUUUUUACCUGAUUUAAUUAAAAGAAAAAUUUUCAUUUCAAUUUAAGUUGAGUAUUCUCAACUAAUUACCAAACUUCAAUGAAAAGUUAAGAAUUUUUAUUGAAUGAAUAUUGGGUAAAGUUAAAUUAAAGUCGGAUAUUCUCGACUCUUUACUCGACUUACUUGAAAAAAUCGAGAAUUUUUUAGAUAAUUUUUUAUUUCAAUUGAAGUCGAGUAUUCUCAACUAUUUACCCGACUAACAUGAAAAAGUCAAGAAUUUAUGCUGAAUUAUUAAUUGUGUAUGGUUUGAUUGAAGUCGAGUAUUCUUGACUAUUUACCCGACUUCGAAGAGUUGGGUUUAGUUUUAUGAGGAUUUAGUAGUGGUUAUUUUUGUAUUUUCUCUAAUUUUUUAAAGUAUAUAUGUGUAAAAUUUAAGAGUGUUAUAAUUUUAGGUAUAUAUUGAGUAUUUUGAAGGAAAUGGGGUACAUCCCACAUAAUUCUCCCCAUGACACCACAUCAGAAACAGCACUUACCCAUUCCUAUGUUACAUGUAUACAGGUUGAAGUUGUCAUCUCUGAGUCCAACGCAAUAUUCAUCCAAUUGAUUUUUGGAGACACCAAAACAAGUCUCGAGCACUUGAUGGCCCCCGUGGAGAUUGGAGAGGCUUUUGAUAAAUUUUAUGAAAUGAACUAACACACAUAAAUUGGAUAUAUAGAUGAUCGAGAAGAAACUCCAGCGACUAGGCCCCAGAUAUAGCUUUCGCUCCCUUGUCUCUAAAGGAA
rnacentral:lncRNA from 1 species